ACUAUAUCGGUGGAUAUGGGACACGGAAUAUGUUCGCUUUUGGAAUAUUAAUGUUACGUUCCACAUCAGCCUUGUUUAUUAUACCAUCAUAUUGGUAGUAAAUGAGAGUGAUGAAUAAUACAAUGAAUAGCUUUAAAAUAAUUCAUAUUGUGUAAUAUGCAAUCAGGUCUGAGUUAAUGUAUGGAAAGUAAAAACUGUCAUGAAGUGGAUAAUCAGUAGCAUGAAAAUUUGUGAGAUUAUGGCUAUAUGCAGUGGCUUAUCAGGUGGUAUCUGGUGUUGGAUGUAUCACCAAAUCUACAGCAUAGAAGCAAAUGCAGUUGUGUAAAUAGAUGACAUAUUAGUUGGAAAUGUGGAAGAUUGUCUUGUAGUAGUAGGCACAGUAUAAAAAAAAGACUGAAAAAUAUUAAAAAUGCUCCACAUAUUGUGUACAUAGAAUAUAAGUUUCAUUAAAUGUUAAAGUGAGUUUCAUA